rnacentral:rRNA from 1 species
AUGGUUUGGUGGCGAUAGCGAAGAGGUCACACCCGUUCCCAUGCCGAACACGGAAGUUAAGCUCUUCAGCGCCGAUGGUAGUCGGGGGGUUCCCCCUGUGAGAGUAGGACGCCGCCAAGCUUU